UGCCAGCGACGCUAAGGCAUCGCGGGUCUUGGCCGGUUCGCGGUCGUGCCGAAGGUCUGGGUGGGCGCUCUCGCAUCCUGGACUGCCCAGGCCCUGGGCCACCCGCCUCCCCAGUCUUGGCCACUCGGCAGGAGCCCGUCCUGGUCCUGGCCCGCCAUCCUCUUGGCCACCUGGGCACCUAGGCAGGUGCGGCCUGGCCCGGCCUUGACCCAGACCCACCUCUCCGCUGCACUCCCCGCCGUCGCCGAGCCCGGCCUGCCCAAAACCACGCGGAGACACCGGUGACACCAAAAGGCAACUCUCUGCGGCCCCGCGCCUCCAUCCAGGGCCCUCGGCCCUUGGCGCUCGACCCCACGGAGCCCAGGAAGGGAAGGGCCCUGAGCAUUCAGAGGAAACAGCUCAGGGCUGGCUGCAGGAGACCAGCUUCCGAGAUCAGACGAGAUCCAGCGCAUUCAGGUUGGCAUGGCGAUAGAGGUUGUUGCUUGCCGCCCCAAGACCUCGAGCCCGGCCUCCUGGGCGCCGGAGACACCGGCGCCUGCAGCGCACAUACUAGCGGGGAUACACACUGGAUGAUAACUAAUAAUAACGUUUCAUGAUAACAUACAUUUGUGUGUUACUCAAGUGAUGCCCAGGAUGACAGCACAGAAUAUCUUUUUCUGAGGAUAUACACUUGGAUGCUAUUACCAAAAUUUCCACCGGAUGGCCUAAGAAAAUGCCUUUUUCUGAAUUGUACUCUAAUGUUAUUCCCAACAUGCACAGUACAUGGUGGCAGAAAAUGAAUUUUCAUGAUGCUCAACAUUCCGAUGUUAUUCCUAAAAUGCCCACCAGAUGGCGGCAGAAAAUAAAUU